rnacentral:rRNA from 1 species
AACGGCCUACCAAGGCAGAGACGGGUAGGGGGCGUGAGAGCGCGGACCCCCACACUGGCACUGAGAUACGGGCCAGACNNNUCCUACGGGAGGCAGCAGUAAGGAUAUUGCGCAAUGGACGAAAGUCAGACGCAGCGACGCCAGCGNUGGGCGAUGAAGCGCCUUCGGGUUGUAAAGCCCUUUUAUGGGGGAAGAGGAAAAGGGACGGUACCCCAGGAAUAAUUCCCGGCUACUACNGUGCCAGCGGCCGCGGUAAACGUAGGGGACAAGCGUUAUCCGGAUUCACUGGGCGUAAAGAGCGUUGAGGCGUUUCCUUAAUUUGGGCGUGAAAGCUCCGGGCUUAACUCGGAGAUGUCGUUCAAUACUGCGGGGCUUGAGGACAGCAGAGGAAGGUGGAAUUCCCGGUGUAGUGGUGAAAUGCGUAGAUAUCGGGAGGAACACCCGUGGCGAAGGCGGCCUUCUGGGCUGUUCCUGACGCUGAAGGCGAAAGCUAGGGGAGCGAACGGGAUUAGAUACCCCGGUAGUCCUAGCUGUAAACGAUGGAUGCUGGGUGUGGGGGGUGUAAAUUCCCUCUGUGCCGAAGCAAACGCGUUAAGCAUCCCGCCUGGGGACUACGGCCGCAAGGCUAAAACUCAAACGAAUUGACGGGGGCCCGCACAAGCAGCGGAGCGUGUGGUUUAAUUCGAUGCUACACGAAGAACCUUACCUGGGUUUGACAUGCACGUGGUAGGGAACCGAAAGGGGACCGACCUUCGGGAGCGUGCACAGGUGCUGCAUGGCUGUCGUCAGCUCGUGCCGUGAGGUGUCGGGUUAAGUCCCGUAACGAGCGCAACCCUUGCCCUUAGUUACAAGUGUCUAAGGGGACUGCCCGGGACAACUGGGAGGAAGGUGGGGAUGACGUCAAGUCAGCAUGGCCUUUAUAUCCAGGGCUACACACACGCUACAAUGGCCGGUACAAUAGGUUGCGAAGUCGUGAGGCGGAGCCAAUCCUCAAAGCCGGUCUCAGUUCGAAUUGCAGUCUGCAACUCGACUGCAUGAAGCUGGAGUUGCUAGUAAUCGCAGGUCAGCUAUACUGCGGUGAUACGUUCCCGGGCCUUGUACACACCGCCCGUCACGUCAUGGAAGCUGGCAACGCCUGAAGCCGGUGAGCUAACCCGAAAGGAG